CACAAUCUCGCCUUAAUCUCUGCCAUCAUUCUUGCCUUGUUCCAACUUCCUUGAUUGAAAAUACAAUUGUUUCGAGUCUUCCAAAUGCUCCAAAUCACACACAACCAGACAGCAAGGAAGAAAUCCACAUCUUUAUUGCUCCCCAAAUUCACAAAAGCAUUGAAAUGGGCUUUGGUUUGAAAAUGAAGAACAGCUUGCUUACCUGUCCAACUCAAGAUUUCUUUCCAGAUUUCAUCAGUUUUUUGGCAAAGAAAGAAGAGAUGCUCAAUGGAUUCUUCUUUCAGCUGACAAAAGGCACACAAAUCAGUCGCCGAGUGCAUCGCAGCUUGUCUUCUCCGAAGAUUGUCCACCGUUGCGAUUCUUCCUUUAAGGACCUUCC
rnacentral:lncRNA from 1 species